AUAUUAUGGAAUAUGAAAACACACAAAAUGUCUAUACAGUCAAGAUAACCUGUGGAAAAAUAAUGAAGACAGUGGAGGAAAGGCAAAAUGGUAAAGAAGAGAAGAGAGAGAAACAAAAUAAUCAUUUUCCAGCCUACCUAAAAUAAUAACCUGGACUUUCAUAAAACUGGCAUAUCUUCUGUUUUACAUGGAAAAUUAUUUUAUCUUAAGUUUCCAUUUAGUUGAUUAAAAAUAGGGUUAUGAAUGUUAAAUAAGUGAUGAUUUAUUGCAAAGGAAAUAUGUUUCGAAAGGUCGAAUAAUGU
rnacentral:lncRNA from 1 species